AGCUAACGCGCUAAGUAGACCGCCUGGGGAGUACGGCCGCAAGGUUAAAACUCAAAUGAAUUGACGGGGGCCCGCACAAGCGGUGGAGCAUGUGGUUUAAUUCGAUGCAACGCGAAGAACCUUACCUACUCUUGACAUCCAGAAAAUUUGGCAGAGAUGCCUCAGUGCCUUCGGGAAUUCUGAGACAGGUGCUGCAUGGCUGUCGUCAGCUCGUGUCGUGAGAUGUUCGGUUAAGUCCGGCAACGAGCGCAACCCACAUCUUUAGUUGCCAGCAGUUCGGCUGGGCACUCUAAAGAAACUGCCCGUGAUAAGCGGGAGGAAGGUGUGGAUGACGUCAAGUCCUCAUGGCCCUUACGGGUUGGGCUACACACGUGCUACAAUGGCAUUUACAGAGGGAAGCGAGACAGUGAUGUGGAGCGGACCCCUUAAA
rnacentral:rRNA from 1 species